UGGGGAAUCUUGGACAAUGGGCGCAAGCCUGAUCCAGCGAUGCCGCGUGGGUGAAGACGGCCUGCGGGUUGUAAAGCCCUUUUGGUGGGGAAGAAAGGCGGGGUAUGAACAGUGCCCGGCUGUGACGUUACCCACAGAAGAAGCACCGGCUAACUCCGUGCCAGCAGCCGCGGUAAUACGGAGGGUGCGAGCGUUAAUCGAAAUUACUGGGCGUAAAGCGCGCGUAGGUGGUCAAGGCAGUCAGCUGUGAAAGCCCCGGGCUUAACCUGGGAAUGGCAGUUGAGACUUCUUGACUGGAGUGUGAGCGAGGACCGUGGAAUUCCCGGUGUAGCGGUGAAAUGCGUAGAGAUCGGGAAGAACACCGAUGGCGAAGGCAGCGGUCUGGAUCGACACUGACGCUGAGGCGCGAAAGCGUGGGGAGCAAACAGG
rnacentral:rRNA from 1 species